rnacentral:rRNA from 1 species
GGGGGGGGGGGGGGGGGGGGGGGGGGGGGGGGGGGGGGGGGGGGGGGGGGGGGGUGGGGGCGCGGGGGGGCGGGGCGGGGGGGGACCUGCCCGUGGGGUCGGAAGAACGCGCCGAAAGGGGUGCUAGUACCGGAUAACGUCUUCGGACCAAAGAUUUAUCGCCUUUGGAUGGGCCCGCGUUGGAUUAGAUAGUUGGUAGGGUAAAAGCCUGCCAAGGCGACGAUCCCUAGCUGGGCUGAGAGGAUGAUCAGCCACGCUGGGACUGAGACACGGCCCAGACUCCUACGGGAGGCAGCAGUGGGGAAUAGUGGACAAUGGGCGAAAGCCUGAGCCAGCAAGGCCGCGUGAGUGAUGAAGGCCUUAGGGUUGUAAAGCUCUUUUAACCGGGAUGAUAAUGACAGUACCGGGAGAAUAAGCUCCGGCUAACUCCUUG